ACGGGUGAGCAACGCGUGGGAAUCUACCGUGCCCUGCGGAAUAGCUCCGGGAAACUGGAAUUAAUACCGCAUACGCCCUACGGGGGAAAGAUUUAUCGGGGUAUGAUGAGCCCGCGUUGGAUUAGCUAGUUGGUGGGGUAAAGGCCUACCAAGGCGACGAUCCAUAGCUGGUCUGAGAGGAUGAUCAGCCACAUUGGGACUGAGACACGGCCCAAACUCCUACGGGAGGCAGCAGUGGGGAAUAUUGGACAAUGGGCGCAAGCCUGAUCCAGCCAUGCCGCGUGAGUGAUGAAGGCCUUAGGGUUGUAAAGCUCUUUCACCGGAGAAGAUAAUGACGGUAUCCGGAGAAGAAGCCCCGGCUAACUUCGUGCCAGCAGCCGCGGUAAUACGAAGGGGGCUAGCGUUGUUCGGAAUUACUGGGCGUAAAGCGCACGUAGGCGGAUAUUUAAGUCAGGGGUGAAAUCCCAGAGCUCAACUCAGGAACUGCCUUUGAUACUGGGUAUCUUGAGUAUGGAAGAGGUAAGUGGAAUUCCGAGUGUAGAGGUGAAAUUCGUAGA
rnacentral:rRNA from 1 species